rnacentral:rRNA from 1 species
AACGAACGCUGGCGGCAUGCCUAACACAUGCAAGUCGAACGAGACCUUCGGGUCUAGUGGCGCACGGGUGCGUAACGCGUGGGAACCUGCCCUUAGGUUCGGAAUAACUCCCCGAAAGGGGUGCUAAUACCGGAUAAUGUCUUCGGACCAAAGAUUUCUCGCCUUUGGAUGGGCCCGCGUUGGAUUCGCUAGUUGGUAGGGUAAAAGCCUACCAAGGCGACGAUCCAUAGCUGGUCUGAGAGGAUGAUCAGCCACACUGGGACUGAGACACGGCCCAGACUCCUACGGGAGGCAGCAGUGGGGAAUAUUGGACAAGGGGCGAAAGCCUGAUCAAGCAAUGCCGCGUGAGUGAUGAAGGCCUUAGGGUUGUAAAGCUCUUUUACCCGGGAUGAUAAUGACAGUACCGGGAGAAUAAGCUCCGGCUAACUCCGUG